UACAGAGGGUGCAAGCGUUAAUCGGAAUUGCUGGGCGUAAAGCGUGCGCAGGCGGCUUUGCAAGACAGAUGUGAAAUCCCCGGGCUCAACCUGGGAACUGCAUUUGUGACUGCAAGGCUAGAGUACGGCAGAGGGGGAUGGAAUUCCGCGUGUAGCAGUGAAAUGCGUAGAUAUGCGGAGGAACACCAAUGGCGAAGGCAAUCCCCUGGGCCUGUACUGACGCUCAUGCACGAAAGCGUGGGGAGCAAACAGG
rnacentral:rRNA from 1 species